rnacentral:lncRNA from 1 species
GAGGGCAUAUCAAGUGAGCAUAUCAAGUGAGAGCACAUCUUAUAAUGAGAGGAUGAAAUAAUAACCCUUGGAUUAAAAUAAAUGGUUGUGAUUAUGUUUCUUUUAGUGAGUCUUAACUACCCGAUUUUUUCCAACUUCCUUGUGACCAACGCUGUCUCACUCUCUCUCCCCGUUGAAACCUUUUUCUUCCAUAUUCCUCUUUGCAUCAAUCUUCUUUGCAUGCUGAAAAAACAUCACUGAUUCAAUGAUGCUGACGAUUAUCCGACCUCUUUGCAUCAGUCUAUGGUUAAUUUUUUAAAAUUAAAUUGAUUAUAAUCAAUCUAUCAUUCCUCUUCUGAUUUACAUAUUCCAAUUAAAUUGCAAACGAGAUCGGCGACGGCAAAAGACAAAUUGCGACAACAAAGCCUUGGGAAGCUGCUACAACGGUGGAGAUGGAAAGAGAACAAGUGUAGAAUCAUAAAAAGAAGGGGAAAAAAUCAUCUGUAAUUAAAUGUGUAUGGAUCUGUUAAAUCUGACCCAUCUAAUUUAAUUUAAUGGCUAUUAAUGAGUCCUCUCAUCUCUCACAAUAUAUAUAUAUAUCCUAAAUAAAUAAUGAUAUCAUCAUUAUUUAUUCUGUGAGGAACGUUUUCCACAUGUUUCAUGUUACCUACCGCUGGCGCAUUGAAUAUUACUUGGUCAAAUCUAAUUAAUAGCAAAAACGGUUUUUGCUUGGUCAAAUGUGUGUAACGUUAACAUUGAAAACAAUUGAUAUAAAAAGUCUCACAUGUCUGAAGGAUAUAGGCAGGAAAAAAAGCUACGACAAUUCCCAUAUACACAUAUAUUUGAGAGUUGUAAUAUUGUUCACGUGCCCUUGCUAUUUCACGUGCAGUGUUAGUGCUGAAAAGCACUAGUCUUGAGGCCAACUGCAUCAGGUGAUUGACCUGUGGCGGCGAAACGGCGAAAUGCACGCCUCAGCCAACGAUCGAUAAGUUCUUCCUUUCUUCUUUAUUUUACUGAGAAUUAUAUUUAUAAUUGCGGUGAUAUUUCUUGAUUAUUAUCUUUGUUUAUUAAUUAAUUCUAUGUCAAUUUUCCAACAAUUAUUGUAGGAGAAAGUAGGACAUAGAAUUAUUAUAAGGUAAUAAGCAAUAAGAAAUAUUAACAUCAAAUUAAUAGAACUCUAAAUAUAAUAUAAUAGAGAACAACUAAACUUAUCGAUUAUUGGUUGAGGCGUGCAUGAAGCACUGGGCUGAAGAGUAUUUUGCCAUCCCGGAUAAAUAACCCGAUGCGAUAGGUCUCAUAGCUAAUACUCUGCAGGAUACAACAAUCACUUCUUCCUAGCACCGCAUGUGAAUUAGCAAGGUCUCAGGAACCACUUAUUUAGAUUGCUCAAGGGAACUCUAUUCAAGGGAACUCUAAAUGAAAUAAGAUAGAUGUCCAAGCAGCUAGCAACCCAUCUAUGUGCAUAGGUUCUCUGUUCUCUCUGGGCAUACUUCCUCAAAACCACUUAUUGAUAUUAUGUAGACUGUCCCAAACCCACUUAUUAAUAUUAUGUAAACACGUACAAAUUAAUUCCUAUGUAGGUGGUCAAACGAAACCGAAAGUGUGGUAGAAUGAUUCAAAGCUUUCAAUGUUAUGCCAAGUGAAUUGCAACUGCCAUUUUGACUAGGUAAUGUAAUAAAUAAAAAACGUGCAUGACUUGGAGUAUAAAUAGGAAACACAUAGGAUACCACCAAGUCAAGAGAAAAGCUAAUUAAUAAUAAUUAAUAAAAUAAUAAUAGAUAUAAUAAUACUUUAAAAUAAAUUAGUAAAUAAAAUUCCAACGAUCUCCACAAUUUAUUUUAAAGUUUUAUAGUGUGAAAAAUCAAUGCAUAAGCACUAGUGUCUUUUGGACUAUGAACUAGCACAUAGAGCAAAUGAAAUUUGAUCCACUAAAAUAUCAGUGAGAUUAUAACCUCUAUGAACCUCAUUCCGUAUGUAGAUUAAACACACAACUCAAAUAUAUGAGCUAUAGAUUUAUUAAGAGUUUAUAAACCCAACCUUCAACGUUGUAGUUUACACUACACCAUAGGGAUGAAUUCUCAAAAAUAAAAUGGAUAAUGUUUCAUCAAAUUGACAAAUGACUUGUUCUUACCCUUAUGAACAUAAUCUUGCAAAUUUUCACAAUUUAUGUUGGGUUACCAUCACUCUCAAUUUUUGUAUUGGGAAAAUAAAUUAAAUCCACACAAAUAUAAAUUUUUCAAAUCAUUGUAUUAUUUAAUACAAUGGAUAAUCCACAAUAUGUCACCAAUAUUUUAAGGUGAAUCUCAAUGUAUAUAUCUCAUUAGUUUAACAAGUGCCACAAAAAUAUAUUUAGAUCUGCUUAGAUUAUUCCUAAGCGACAACAUCUCUAUUUGCACUUCAAAAAGAUUUCACAAGUUUAAGAAUUCUAUCAAAGAAGAAUUUAAGAAUUCUAUCAAAGAACUCAGACAAAAACUCACUAAAACAUGUUUGAGGAUCAGAUUUCUAGCAAUUAGAAUACACAUAUGAGACGUAAUCAAAUGUACACAACUAUAUGAAUUCACAAAGCUCAAAUACAUAAAUAAGAAUAAAUUAUCCGAUGUUGCUAACAUUUGCAUUAAAUCGCCAGUUAUCCAAUUCAAACCACCAUAUUCCUAGAAUCAUAAAAUUUCUUGAUGGCUGGCAUAAUUUAUCAUGUUAGUAUGAUUCUAAAAUAUUGGCACAAUGUUUUCAGACUCAACCCAACACAUCUAACUCUGAUAUUAUGUAGUUAAGAAUGCAAACAACAGACACAUGAUCUAAUUCAUUCAUAGUUAUUCUGACACGCUAUUAUCAUAAUUUUCCAUAUAAUUCCAAUUCAUUACAUCUUCUCACACUAUAUCCUAGUGCCACGGUUUAAAGUAAGCUCAAGAAUAAAUUAUCAUACAUCAUGAGUGAACAUCACAGUAUAAACACAAAAAAAAAAAAAAAAAUUGUAAAAAAUCCUUCGGUGAGCAUGUGCAUAUAAUAUGUCCUUUCAACAAAAUAUCUAUGAACAUAUUUCACAAAUUAUAAAGUGAACAUAUCAAUGUAUUUUAUAAUAACAUAAUUUUCCUGCUUUUGCAAAUAUCCCUCAAUUUCCAAUUUAUAUAAACACUUCAUCACUAUACUCCUUGAGACGUAGAACAGUUAUAAGUUCAAGAAAACAUUCGGUUUUAAACACAAUGAUCAUAAUAUGUACUUGCAAACAAUGUUCCACAAAUCGCGUGUCAAUUCGGCGAGUUUACCGAGUUUACGUGUUUAGGUGCUAAAAACGUGUUAACUUGGAGGUAAACUUGAUUUCUGGUAAAAUCGGAAAGUUUGACGAGUUUGACCGAGUUAACACUCAGUAAACUCGUGUGAAAUCGGGCAAGUUAACCGUUUUUGCGAGUUUACUCCUGUUUUUUUUUCUUCAAAAAUGGCCCAUUGUUUUGGCCCAUUUUUUUCAAGCCCAAAUGAAAACAUAUUUACUUUCUAGCUUUACAACACGUUUAAGCUUACUGAAGUGAAACAUUUCAUAUCAUUUUCUUAGAGUUUUCAAGAACAGGGGAGCGAAUGAAACAUUAGGUUUCCAAAGAUGAAGAUAUAGAUGAGAAUGGUGUUAUGGAACUUUAGAAGAUUGACCUUUCGAAGAAAUUACCUAGUUUGUUUUUUGGAUAGUUUUAUUCUCAAGUUUAUAAACUUGUGAAACUUCCUUUUUGGGAUGGGUAGACUUUAGAGACUUAUGAAACCUAUGCUUUUGUGUGUUAAUUUUUCUAUUUUGAUACUAAGUUAAGCAUACCACUUUUUUAUGGUGGUUUGGUAUACUUUGCAUUUAUAAGUAAGUCUAUAUUUUUCACUAUUGAUAUUUUUACAGUAUUAUAUUAGCUUAGAUAUGUAUGCAUAUAAUAAAUUGUAUAAAAUUUUAAUUUUAGGUAAACUCGUACGAGUUUUCGAGUCGAGUUUAUCUAGAUAAAACGAGUCGAGGUAAACUCUCAAGUUGCAAAACCUUCCUUGCAAAGAACCAAAAACACAACUGCCGUAAAAGUGAUAGAUAAAUUAUUAUGUAACAAUUAUAAAAUGAAGAAAUACCACUUUUAGAAUUCAACUAAUCACCACAAAAAAGAAAACCUUUUGACUAUACAGGAAUUAUUAGCCCACGGUAAUCUUAAUAUUUUUAGGAAAUUUGUCCAAGUCAAAACAAUAUAGUUAAUAAUUAGCAAAACAAAUCACAGCAACCAAUUUAGUGAACAUUAGAUGUAAGACAUUUCCAUAAACAUUCAAUUCAAGAUCUAAGUUUCAAUCACACACAAAACAAAGUUCAACAAGGCUUGUGAGGUUUAGAUAUUAGGAUAUGUACCUUGCCUCUUGUGGAUGGUUUCAAGAGGAGAAUAGUUUAUAACUUACAAUGGAGUUGAUCAAAUCAUACUCUUGUAGACUGAACCGAUGAAUUCCUCCAUUUUUAGGUAUUUGCCAUCUUCCUCUAAACAAAAGUUCACCCAAUAUUUGGCUCUCUCAAUGCUCACUAGACCAAUUAUGUACGAUGCUUCGACGGAGUUUCUGGAUCUAUCAUACAUGUCGCAUAACAUAGAACCAACGUUAGUGCUACUAAUUUCUCACUCAACAGUAUAAAGAAUUCUGAAAUUAGAAUCAGUAACAAGUAUUCUUUAUAAUAGUAAUACUAUGCCACAAAAUACUCUUAAGAUUGUAGGAGAAAGUAGACAUAAAAUUAUUAUAAGGUAAUAAGCAAUAAGAAAUAUUAGCAUCAAAUUAAUAGAACUCUAAACAUAAUAGAAUAGAGAACAAGUAAACUUAUCGAUUAUUGACUGAGGCGUGCAUGAAGUAUUGGGCUUAAGAGUAUUUCGCCACCUCGGAUGAAUCAUCCGAUGCGAUAGAUCUCAUAGUUAAUACUCUGCAGGAUACAACAAUCACUUUUUGCUAGCACCGCAUAUGAAUUAGCAAGGUCUCAGAAAUCACUUAUUUGGAUUGCUCAAGGGAACUCUAUUUUAGUUAUUAGCUAAUAGUAUAAACUAAAUGAAAUAAGAUAGAUGUCGAAGCAGCUAGCAACCCAUCUAUGUGUAUAGGUUCUCUCUUCUCUCUGUGCAGACUUCCCCAAACCCACUUAUUAAUAUUAUGUAAACACGUACAAAUUAAUUCCUAUGUAGGUGGUCAAAUGAAACCGAAAGUGUGGUAGAAUGAUUCAAAGCUUUCAAUGUUAUGACCAAGUGAAUUGCAACUACCAUUUUGACCAGGUAAUGUAAUAAAUAAAAAACGUGCAUGACUUGGAGUAUAAAUAGGAAACACAUAGGAUACCAAGUCAAGAGAAAAGAUAAUUAAUAAUAAUUAAUAAAAUAAUAAUAGAUAUAAUAUUACUUUAAAAUAAAUUAAUAAAUAAAAUUCCAACAAUAUGAUUAAGCUUAAGGUAUUCUAACUUCUAAGAUGCUAUCAUAGUAUGGAUGCAAACAAAUUUUUGGGGCCAUUAGCAUCCAAACAUUCACGACAAUAAAAGCUUUGAAGAUAAACACUAGCAUCCUAUUGAUGUUAAUUAGCAUUUACAAAGAUGAACGUCAAAAUUGAAGCUUAUUGUAUUAAAAGUGUAUCUAAAUACAAACGUGUGAUAAUUUAUAAAUUUGGUUAUUGUCUUGCACUUAUCCCCAUGUUUUAUGAUGUCUUGAGUGAUUGUAUGAUUUAUAGCAUCUAAUAGGUGUCUAUUUGAUAAUUUAUGAAUUUAAUUAGGUGUAAUUUUACAUAGCCAUUUUAAAUUAGUAAUGUUUGUCAUGGUUGGUUUUGUGAAACAGUUUGAAUAUCUAUUGUGGUGAUAUAAGAAGAUGCAGUGCUAGUAAGGAUUCUGGUGAUGUAGGAAGUUAUAGCGUUGGAAGGAUUCUAGUGUUGUAUCGUUGAAGGACGUUCAGUAUGGGUCGUACACUCGUACAAGCUUAGGUCUCUCAUUUGCCUUUGUGUGGAAAUGAAGCUUGAAGAAUUGUCUCCAAUGAAUAUUGUAGUAUGAGGAAUAAAAGAAUAUGUUGAAUUCCAAGAGGAUGAGACAAGCGAAGCACAUCCCAUAUGAAAAAUUAGCAAAUGACACACAUAAUGAUAUGUAUUUGCAUCAAAC